AAAGCCCAGCGUUGAAUCCCAUGAUCAUUGAACGAUCAUUCGGGACCUGUAACGUAUAGGUAUAGCUAUUUGUUGCCAGCGUUUUAAAUACUCUAAGUUCCCUUGACUGGGGCUAUCGCCCAUUGAUGGUGCUAGGCCAGUAAGAGUAUUGAAAUGUUGGUAAUGUUUCGGUUAUACCUUAGAGUCGAGUUGCCUGGGAUCGCAGCUCAAAGUAGGUGGUAAACUUCAUCUAAGGCUAAAUAUCGCUACGAGACCGAUAGCCAACAAGUACCGUGAGGGAAAGUUGCAAAGAACUUUGAAGAGAGAGUUCAAGAGUACGUGAAACCGUUGGGAGGAAAACGGAUAGAGUCGGCGAUUUGCUAGUAACACUCAGCUAAUCAACGUUUGCUGCUACUGUCUAAGUUGAAUCGUUCAACUUGUUGUUCGAUAGCUUAGUCGGUUAUCCAGUUGGCUGUUUAAACGUUCGAUUAGUGCAAUUGCUGCUAGUAUGCGCUAAGAUAUUCGCUAUUUGUAUAUGCUUUAAACCAUGUUUGAAGAGGACUACAUCACUUGUUGGUAUAGAACCCUUCGGCAUUGGUCUGGUAUAUUCAUGGUGAAUAUAAAAGUCGGUGUGUGUAUAGAUCACUAUAGCUUUUUUAAAGCUGUGGCGUUCAUCAAUUCUUGGUGGUUUUCUACAUUUGACAGUGGCAUGCCACUUUGUCUUAUGUGUCCAAGGCUGUCGAUUGAUGUUCUUGUCACAUUUGGUGAUCUAAAUUCUUAGCGUUAAAGUCGAUCACCUAUCCGACCCGUCUUGAAACACGGACCAAGGAGUUUAGCAUAUGCGCGAGUCAUUGGGUGGUAAACCUAUAGGCGUAAUGAAAGUAAAGUAUAUAUGCACAUUGUAUAUAUCGAUAUGGGAUUCAUACAGAUGUCUCAUUUAGCGAUUUGGCGCGUGCUGACUGGGGCAUUCAUAGUUACUGUAUGACGCACCAUAGCCCCGUUUAUGUUUAGCAUUGCUAACUAGGCGGAGGUAGAGCGUAUAUGCUAAGACCCGAAAGAUGGUGAACUAUGCUUGAACAGGAUGAAGCCAGAGGAAACUCUGGUGGAAGUCCGAAGCGAUUCUGACGUGCAAAUCGAUCGUCUGAUU
rnacentral:rRNA from 1 species